UUUUGGGGGGUGCAACACCCAUCGCCAUUUUGUUUUUUUACAAUACCACUCCACCAGGAAAAAUGUCUAAUUGUUUGCCUGUCUAUUUAUUCAUUCUUUUUUCUUUUCUUUUGUACAAGGCAAGUUGCAGGAAGCAGCUGAAGUAAAGGAAGCCAAGAGCAUCCUCAUUCACAUCAAGGACAGAGACUGUGUGGCUCUGGAGGUGCAGUACCACAGAAGUUGCUACAGAGAGUACACAAGGUUUUUGAGUGAGCCUGUCAGAGCAGAGAAAGAACAGAUUGGGCCAACAUUUGAUCUGAGCUACAAGUUAUUCUGCGAGAGGGUAAUCCGCUAAAGGCUACUGAUCAACCAAGAGGUGCUGAGGAUGAGCCAACUGAGGAAGGCCUUUAUUGCCCUUGUGCAGUCAAGUGAAGGUGUUGAUGCUUCAACCUACAGACAGGAUAUAUUGAAGAAGAGGCUCAGUCGUGAUUUUCCUCAGCUAGUGUUCCACACCCCCGCCAAACGCAACACAUCUGAACUGGUUUUUGCUGAGAACUUGUCGACGAAUGCAGUCUUGGACUUGUUACCAUCAGGUGCGGAGACGACUCAGUCCAGCGAAAUGAGCCAGACAGACAGCGACACAGAAAGGAGGAAGUCAAAGCAACCAACCACAGCAGAGGAGACACGGACACUUUACACAGCAGCUUUGCUUUUGAAGAGGCUGCUUAGUCACAGUCCUGGCAUGUCAUGCCCAUGGCCCCCAACUGCAGUAAACUUCAAUCUCACUGAAGUCAUUUGCUGUGGCAUGCGCAAAAGAUGUGUACCUGGAUGCUUUCACACAGUUCAUGAAAAUGCCGGUUCAUGUGUAUGCCACUUGUUUUGAUUUUUUUAUUUGUUGUAUAGUUAUUAGUGAAUAAAUGAAUACAUGAA